CUACUCUGUCAACAACUUCACAAUGAUUAUCAUGGAAAAGCAGAUCGAGAGGAGGCGGUCAUUUCAGUAUAGAGAGGUGAUGGCUUGAGAUUCAUCACUGGCCACCUAUGGCAAGUCCAAACUAGAUACAUCAACUGUUAAACCUACGUGGAAAAAGUAACGCUACGCAAGAUCUUUGCGAGAUUUUUGUACUACUGUAUGAGCCAUAUUUGGAAAUCUACAGACUGCAGUAUAGGAGGUGCAAGGAAAAAAUUAUGAAGAAAUCUAUUUGUGAGGUUCGGGUGAUCUGUUAAUGUGCUAAAUCAGAUGGUACAUUAAUGGUAUUUGAGGAAUUAACAUCUACUCUAUACGUGUAAAUUUUACAUGCUGAAUAUGAAUUUCUGAUUUGGGGAGUUGCGGACCCAAUUAUCAUGGACAUGUAUCUCUAUAAGUUUACCAAAAAAUCAAACAGGUCUGGGCUGGAUGGCAAGUGAAGAUAAAUCAAGUAAAUACU